rnacentral:lncRNA from 1 species
UUUUUCUUAUUUAAAUUCAUAGAAAGAUUAAAUUAAAUAAAUAUUUUUUUGGCUACUGAGUGUUUUCAGAUCCUAGUAAUUAUUGGUCUCCAUUCUCAUGCUACUUUAAGGACAUACCCAAGACGGGGUAAUUUAUAAAGGAAAGAAGUUUAAUUGACUCACAGUUCUGCUGGGCUUGGGAGGCCUCAGGAAACUUACAAUCAUGGUGGAAGGGGAAGCAAACAUGUCUUUCUUCACAUGGUGUCAGGAAGAAGAAUGAGCAAAAGGGGGAAAGCCCCUUAUAAAACUAUUAAAUCUUGUGAGAACUAACUCAUUAUCAUAAGAACAGGCUGGGAUAAACUUCCCACAUGAUUCAUAUCUCCACCUGUUCCCUCCCAGGACACAUAGGGAUUAUGGGAACUACAACUCAAGAUGAGAUUUGGGUGGGUCACAGCCAAACCAUAUCAGGUGUUAAGGACAGAAGGCUAAUUACAUCACUAUUUCUGUUUAUUUUACAGCUUUGUUUCCAAGACAGGAUGUUAUUCAUUCAAGUAUAGUACACCAAAAAGGAAGGAUGGUUCCAUCUGUGAAAAUAUGAUAAUAUGAGCUUUUACUGAACUAGGACUGAUGAGUAAAUGGAGAUAACUAUAUGUGUUACUUAUAAAUACUAUAUAUUCUAGGUUUUGCAAGCAGGUUGAUUUUUCUCUGCCUUAACUUUUGCAGGUCCCAAAUACUUACCAGCCAUUUCUGCAUUCCCCAAUUUAGCACUGAUGCAUUUGACCUAUUGAGAAUUGGUA